CCUAGAGUUGUAGGCUUUGCCUGCUAUCUCUUACCCAUGUCUUUUGAGUACCUUCGUUUCCUCGGCGGGUCCGCCCGCCGAUUGGACAACUUAAACCCUUUGCAGUUGCAAUCAGCGUCUGAAAAAACUUAAUAGUUA
rnacentral:misc_RNA from 1 species